UACGGGGGGGGCAAGCGUUGUUCGGAAUUACUGGGCGUAAAGGGCUUGUAGGUGGCCAACUAAGUCAGACGUGAAAUCCCUCGGCUUAACCGGGGAACUGCGUCUGAUACUGGAUGGCUUGAGUGUGGGAGAGGGAUGCGGAAUUCCAGGUGUAGCGGUGAAAUGCGUAGAUAUCUGGAGGAACACCUGAGGCGAAGGCGGGCUACUGGGCCGAUACUGACGCUGAUGCGCGAAAGCCAGGGGAGCGAACGGG
rnacentral:rRNA from 1 species